rnacentral:rRNA from 2 species
CAUGGCUCAGGACGAACGCUGGCGGCGUGCUUAACACAUGCAAGUCGAACGAUGAAGCCCUUCGGGGUGGAUUAGUGGCGAACGGGUGAGUAACACGUGGGCAAUCUGCCCUUCACUCUGGGACAAGCCCUGGAAACGGGGUCUAAUACCGGAUAACACUCUGUCCCUCAUGGGGCGGGGUUAAAAGCUCCGGCGGUGAAGGAUGAGCCCGCGGCCUAUCAGCUUGUUGGUGGGGUAAUGGCCUACCAAGGCGACGACGGGUAGCCGGCCUGAGAGGGCGACCGGCCACACUGGGACUGAGACACGGCCCAGACUCCUACGGGAGGCAGCAGUGGGGAAUAUUGCACAAUGGGCGAAAGCCUGAUGCAGCGACGCCGCGUGAGGGAUGACGGCCUUCGGGUUGUAAACCUCUUUCAGCAGGGAAGAAGCGAAAGUGACGGUACCUGCAGAAGAAGCGCCGGCUAACUACGUGCCAGCAGCCGCGGUAAUACGUAGGGCGCAAGCGUUGUCCGGAAUUAUUGGGCGUAAAGAGCUCGUAGGCGGCUUGUCACGUCGGAUGUGAAAGCUCGGGGCUUAACCCCGAGUCUGCAUUCGAUACGGGCUAGCUAGAGUGUGGUAGGGGAGAUCGGAAUUCCUGGUGUAGCGGUGAAAUGCGCAGAUAUCAGGAGGAACACCGGUGGCGAAGGCGGAUCUCUGGGCCAUUACUGACGCUGAGGAGCGAAAGCGUGGGGAGCGAACAGGAUUAGAUACCCUGGUAGUCCACGCCGUAAACGUUGGGAACUAGGUGUUGGCGACAUUCCACGUCGUCGGUGCCGCAGCUAACGCAUUAA